rnacentral:rRNA from 1 species
GUGGGGAAUAUUGCACAAUGGGCGCAAGCCUGAUGCAGCAACGCCGCGUGAGGGAUGACGGCCUUCGGGUUGUAAACCUCUUUUAGUAGGGAAGAAGCGAAAGUGACGGUACCUGCAGAAAAAGCACCGGCUAACUACGUGCCAGCAGCCGCGGUAAUACGUAGGGUGCAAGCGUUGUCCGGAAUUAUUGGGCGUAAAGAGCUCGUAGGCGGCUUGUCGCGUCUGCUGUGAAAACCCGAGGCUCAACCUCGGGCCUGCAGUGGGUACGGGCAAGCUAGAGUGCGGUAGGGGAGAUUGGAAUUCCUGGUGUAGCGGUGGAAUGCGCAGAUAUCAGGAGGAACACCGAUGGCGAAGGCAGAUCUCUGGGCCGUAACUGACGCUGAGGAGCGAAAGCAUGGGGAGCGAACAGGAUUAGAUACCCGAGUAGUCC